UAGGGAAUCUUCCACAAUGGACGAAAGUCUGAUGGAGCAAUGCCGCGUGCAGGAUGAAUGCCUUCGGGUUGUAAACUGCUUUUAUGGGGGAGGAAUAUGACAGUACCCCAUGAAUAAGCUUCGGCUAACUCCGUGCCAGCAGCCGCGGUCAUACGGAGGAAGCAAGCGUUAUCCGGAAUUAUUGGGCGUAAAGAGAUGCGUAGGUGGUUCACCAAGCAAAGCAUGAAAUCAUGAGGCUCAACCUCAUGAC
rnacentral:rRNA from 1 species